rnacentral:rRNA from 1 species
GAACGCGAAAGUCCCCUUCGGGGGACAAGUAGAGUGGCGCACGGGUGAGUAACACGUAGGUAAUCUACCUUUGGAUGGGGAAUAACAACCGGAAACGGUUGCUAAUACCGCAUAAUGCAGCGGCACCUAAUGGUGACAGUUGUUAAAGCGGGGGAUCGAAAGACCUCGCGUCUGAAGAGGAGCCUGCGGCGGAUUAGCUAGUUGGUAAGGUAAUGGCUUACCAAGGCUACGAUCCGUAACCGGCCUGAGAGGGCGGUCGGUCACACUGACACUGACAUACGGGUCAGACUCCUACGGGAGGCAGCAGUCGGGAAUUUUGGGCAAUGGGCGAAAGCCUGACCCAGCAACGCCGCGUGAAGGAUGAAAUCCCUCGGGAUGUAAACUUCGCAAGAACAGGAAGAAUAAGUAGGGGACAAUACCCCCUAUGAUGACGGUACUGUUUGUAAGCUCCGGCUAACUCCGUGCCAGCAGCCGCGGUAAUACGGGGGGAGCAAGCGUUGUUCGGAUUUACUGGGCGUAAAGGGCGCGUAGGCGGUCAGCACAAGUCAGUUGUGAAAUCUCCGAGCUUAACUCGGAAAGGUCAACUGAUACUGUGCGACUAGAGUGCAGAAGGGGCAACUGGAAUUCUCGGUGUAGCGGUGAAAUGCGUAGAUAUCGAGAGGAACACCUGCGGCGAAGGCGGGUUGCUGGGCUGACACUGACGCUGAGGCGCGAAAGCUAGGGGAGCGAACGGGAUUAGAUACCCCGGUAGUCCUAGCCUUAAACGAUGAAUGCUUGGUGUC